rnacentral:misc_RNA from 1 species
AAGUCGUAACAAGGUUUCCGUAGGUGAACCUGCGGAAGGAUCAUUAAAAGUAAUAUGUAUUCUCACGAAUAUGCAUUAUAAACCCAUCUGUGUAUCUUACCUGUUGCUUCCGCGAGCCAGUGAUCUCGAUCACCUCCGCGGGAUGGCGAAGGCCAUCCUCCCGGGGAGCACUCGCGGGAGGUAUACAUCAAACCCUUGCAUUUCUAUGUCAUCUGUCUGAACUGUUUAUAACAAAUGUUAAAACUUUCAACAACGGAUCUCUUGGUUCUC